AGGGCAAACUACUUGCUCUGGAGAAAUUGACACUCAUUUUUAUUUUAAAUAGUGUGUCACGGUGGGUGUGGUUGCAGGAUACCUCAUUGCACCAGGCCUCUGCUGUCACCUCAGUGCCAACUGCUUAAGGAAGAGGAGUUACUUGAGCUGAAAUAGAUUUCACUGGAGCAAACAUCACUGGCCAAGCAGGACCAGCUCUACCCUCCCCGAGUUCUGUGUCUGGAGAAUUUACCAUUGUUCAGGAGCAGAACCAGAGUUUGCUGAGGAACCCGAUAGGAAGAGUCUCCAUUCAGAGAUGUGAGUUCAAGCCAUGUCCUGGGUUGAUGUCUCAAGCUUUGCCUGCUUAACCUGCCUUCAAAGGCUGGGGGCAAGGGCUGUGCCUGGAGCUGGCACUGCUUUCCACAACUAAGCUGGGCUGGAUCACAGUCCAGAGAGCUGCUGGCUGGAAAC